rnacentral:ncRNA from 1 species
ACUCGGUUCUUCAAGUUUGCCUUGAGGAUUAAAAGGGAAUUGAGUGAAAAUCUCAAGCAACCGCCAUUACCGUGAAUGAUGAAGGGGAUACAGAUGCCAUUGGCUUAGGCUGAGAAGGCGUAUCCAUAUGUGCUAUGCACUAUAUCACAAGUCGGGAGACCUGCCGUAAACAUAA